AACGAACGUUAGCGGCGCGCCUAACACAUGCAAGUCGCACGAGAAAGGGCUUCGGCCCCGGUAAAGUGGCGCACGGGUGAGUAACACGUGGGUAACCUGCCCUCGAGCGGGGGAUAACAUUCCGAAAGGAGUGCUAAUACCGCAUAAGACCACGACCUCGAAAGAGGAUGGGGUCAAAGCUGGCCUCUAUACAUAAGCUAGCACUUGAGGAUGGGCCCCGCGGCGCAUCAGGUAGUUGGUGAGGUAACGGCUCACCAAGCCUAAGACGCGUAGCUGGUCUGAGAGGAUGAUCAGCCACACUGGAACUGAGACACGGUCCAGACUCCUACGGGAGGCAGCAGUGGGGAAUCUUGCGCAAUGGACGAAAGUCUGACGCAGCGACGCCGCGUGAGUGAUGAAGGCC
rnacentral:rRNA from 1 species